ensembl:lncRNA
AACAGCACAAAUCUGUCAGCCAGAGACACAAACAGAGUCAAACUUAACAUUGAAUUAUAACACAGUUUUUCAAUAGCAGAAUGAAUCAAAAAACACACUGGUUUUUAGUUCUGAAAGGUGUGUCUAACAACUGUUUUAGAAUUCCAAAAGUCAAACAGGCAACGUGUGGUUGAGCAUUCCUGGUCAAAUGAUGAGUUACAAGACUCAGUGGGGAGGAAGAUUGCUCUGCACAUCACAUCUCCUUUCUGUCCACACCCCUUUAUUCCAUUCUGGCACUCUCGUGAAAGCGACACUGCAAGAUUGUCAUCGCUAAUGAACUGUGUACGCAUGACGAGCUUCUCACCAGGGAUCUGAAGACGAGACACCAACUACAUUCUUGUUGUCAUCACUCCAGCUGGGGAAGCUGCACAACUAAAUGGGACUCCCAGACAACUUUGUGAUGUUUUAUUCAG